rnacentral:rRNA from 1 species
CUACGGGCUGCUCCAGUGGGGAAUAUUGCGCAAUGGGGGAAACCCUGACGCAGCAACGCCGCGUGGGUGAAGAAGGCCCUCGGGUCGUAAAGCCCUGUCAGGAGGGAAGAAAGUACGUUCGGUCAAUACCCGGUCGUAUUGACGGUACCUCCAAAGGAAGCACCGGCCAACUCCGUGCCAGCAGCCGCGGUAAUACGGAGGGUGCAAGCGUUGUUCGGAAUCACUGGGCGUAAAGCGCGUGUAGGCGGCCCUGCAAGUCAGAUGUGAAAUCCCUGGGCUCAACCCAGGACGUGCAUUUGAGACUGCCGGGCUUGAGUACGGGAGAGGAGAGCGGAAUUCCUAGUGUAGAGGUGAAAUUCGUAGAUAUUAGGAGGAACACCAGUGGCGAAGGCGGCUCUCUGGCCCGAUACUGACGCUGAGACGCGAAAGCGUGGGUAGCAAACAGGAUUAGAUACCCCAGUAGUC